GCCGAAGUGGUGGAAAGGUAGACACGCAAGUUUCAAAAACUUGUGGUCCAAAAGACCAUGUGGGUUCGAUUCCCGCCUUCGGCACCA
rnacentral:tRNA from 3 species